UUCUAAAAAGAAUUCUCUCUAAAACUUUCCUUUUCUCUCUUUCUUUCUCUCUCUCUCCAAGGUAUGCAACCACUCAUGUAUUCAGUUCAGGAAGCAUUAAAUGCCAGACCAUGGUGGAUUCGUAUGGGAACUGACAUUUGUUACUAUAAAAAUCACUUCUCAAGAAGUUCAGCUGCUGCAGGUGGACAAAAGGGAAAAUCUUACUACACCAUUACUUUCACUGUAAAUUUUCCACAUAGAGAUGAUGUUAGCUCCUUUGCCUAUCACUAUCCAUAUACAUA
rnacentral:lncRNA from 1 species